AUGGAGGGUUCGACCGGCAACUCGCCGGCGCCGCCGCCCGCCUUCCGGAACAGGUACUGGAUCCUCCGCCACGGCCGCAGCGUCCCCAACGAGCGCGGCCUCAUCGUCUCCUCCCUGGAGAACGGCACGAAGCCGGAGUUCGGGCUGGCCCCUCAGGGCGUCGAGCAGGCGCGCUCCGCCGGCGAGUCGCUCCGGAAGGAGCUUGAGGAGAUGGGUGUGCCGGUGGACUCUGUCAAGAUCUGUUACUCGCCGUUCUCGCGGACGACGGAGACGGCCAGGGUGGUCGCCGGCGUGCUGGGCGUCCCAUUUGAGGGUCCUAGCUGCAAGGCAACCGUGGAACUUCGUGAACGUUAUUUUGGACCAUCAUAUGAGUUGCUUUCACACGAGAAGUAUGCAGAGGUAUGGGCAAUAGAUGAAGCAGAUCCCUUUUUGGCCCCAGAAGGUGGGGAGAGCGUUGCAGAUGUUGCUAGUAGACUUGCAGGGGUGCUGUCUUCUGCAGACGUGGAGUUUCAUGGCUCUGCUGUUCUUAUUGUCAGCCAUGGGGAUCCAUUGCAGAUCUUUCAAGCAGUACUCAGCGGAGCCAAGGAAAACCCAUCUUUCCUCGACGAUGCAUCUGGCCUGAGAAAGGAAAGCCUGGUAAUUUCGUCCGUGUUGUCACAGCACCGUAAGUUCGCACUCAACACAGCAGAGCUGCGGCGAGUAGUGUGA
rnacentral:rRNA from 1 species